AACGAACGCUGGCGGCAGGCUUAACACAUGCAAGUCGAGCGCCCCGAAAGGGGAGCGGCAGACGGGUGAGUAACGCGGGGGAAUGUGCCCUUUGGUCUGGAAUAACUCAGGGAAACUUGAGCUAAUACCGGAUAUGCCCUUCGGGGGGAAGAUUUAUUGCCAUUGGAGCAGCCCGCGUCAGAUUAGCAAGUUGGUGAGGUAAAAGCUCACCAAGGCGAUGAUCUGUAGCUGGUAUGAGAGGACGACCAGCCACACUGGGAGUGAGACACGGCCCAGACUCCUACGGGAGGCAGCAGUGGGGAAUAUUGGACAAUGGGGGCAACCCUGAUCCAGCCAUGCCGCGUGAGUGAUGAAGGCCUUAGGGUUGUAAAGCUCUUUUACUCGGGAAGAUAAUGACUGUACCGAGAGAAUAAGCCCCGGCUAACUUCGUGCCAGCAGCCGCCGUAA
rnacentral:rRNA from 1 species